GCGGUCGUGGCGGAAUUGGUAGACGCGCUACCUUGAGGUGGUAGUGGGUAACUCCGUGGAGGUUCGAGUCCUCUCGACCGCA
rnacentral:tRNA from 1 species